AGAGCGAACGCUGGCGGCAGGCCUAACACAUGCAAGUCGAGCGCCCCGCAAGGGGAGCGGCAGACGGGAGAGUAACACGUGGGAACGUGUCCUUUGGUUCGGAACAACACAGGGAAACUUGUGCUAAAUACCGGAUAAGUCCGUAAGGAGAAAGAUUUAUCGCCAAAGGAUCGGCCCGCGUCUGAUUAGCUAGUUGGUGAGGUAACGGCUCACCAAGGCGACGAUCAGUAGCUGGUCUGAGAGGAUGAUCAGCCUCACUGGGACUGAGACACGGCCCAGACUCCUACGGGAGGCAGCAGUGGGGAAUAUUGGACAAUGGGCGCAAGCCUGAUCCAGCCAUGCCGCGUGGAUGAUGAAGGCCCUAGGGUUGUAAACCCCUUUCAGCAGGGACGAAGCGAAAGUGACGGUACCUGCAGAAGAAGCGCCGGCUAACUACGUGCCAGCAGCCGC
rnacentral:rRNA from 1 species